AAACCUCUCAAUGAAUUUAUUUUUAUUGGUCAUGGGCCGUGGAGGAAAAUGGCUUUAACUAGCCGCUCCCGCCUUAAACUUGCUGCACGACCUCAAGCAAAUGCUAGGUUAAUGGAGUGGUGUUUACAUUGUAUUCCAGCAAUCCAAACAUGGCUUGGUAGGCGUUAAACCCGUUUGCUUAACCGCAACUGAA
rnacentral:misc_RNA from 1 species